UAGGCUGUUUUGGGGGGGCCACGGGGCAGUUUUCCUUUGUGGUAAGUGCCGUCCCCGACCUUUCUAAGUUUAUUAGCGUUUAGAAUUUCUAGUAAGGAACAAUUGGCGAUUGCAGU
rnacentral:rRNA from 1 species